AGCCACUGUGGUGCAGUGGUUAGAAUGUUGGGCUGGGACCUGGGAGACCAGGGUUCAAAUCCCCUCUGGGCUA